GCAGAAGGGCCCUGAUCCAAACCCCCCUGAAGACAAUAGGUGUCUUCCUGUUGACUUCAAUGGGCUUUGGAUCAGGCCUAGUGUGC
rnacentral:pre_miRNA from 1 species